rnacentral:tRNA from 1 species
AUUUUCUUAAUAUAAUUAAGUAUAUUUGAUUUCCAAUCAAAAAGUCUAUGAGUCCUAGAGAAAAUA